UUCCGGUCCGCCAUGCUGUAGGCUCGCCUGCUCUGGAGUCAGGGAGACGCUUCUGUUCUGUGUGCUGAGCUGCGAUCCGCUGCCGGGAGUUCUGAAGAGAGCGAGGUGACCCCGGAACCCGCCAUGAAGACAGAAGGAGGCCUCAGAUCCCCUGCAUAAGAAUCUAGCCCAGUGUUGUUAACAGCAUCCCUUUAAUCCCAGCACUCUGGAUACAGAGACAGUCAGAUUCCUGUGAGUUCAGGGCCACCCCGAUCUAAUGAUGAGUUUUAUGCUAGCAAGAAUACAACACAGCCAAACAACAAAAAAUAAAGGUUGGUUGUAAUUGGAUAGACUGGG